CUUUCCUUAGUUUAGAUAGAAUGGUGGUUUUGGGGAUCAUAGGGCUCAGUAUUGAGAGGUUUGA
rnacentral:tRNA from 1 species